GAUGAACGCUGACAGAAUGCUUAACACAUGCAAGUCAACUUGAAUUUGGGUUUUUAACUUAGGUUUGGGUGGCGGACGGGUGAGUAACGCGUAAAGAACUUGCCUCACAGUUAGGGACAACAUUUGGAAACGAAUGCUAAUACCUAAUAUUAUGAUAAUAGGGCAUCCUAUAAUUAUGAAAGCUAUAAGCGCUGUGAGAGAGCUUUGCGUCCCAUUAGCUAGUUGGAGAGGUAACGGCCCACCAAGGCGAUGAUGGGUAGCCGGCCUGAGAGGGUGAUCGGCCACAAGGGGACUGAGACACGGCCCUUACUCCUACGGGAGGCAGCAGUGGGGAAUAUUGGACAAUGGACCAAGAGUCUGAUCCAGCAAUUCUGUGUGCACGAUGAAGUUUUUCGGAAUGUAAAGUGCUUUCAGUUGGGAAGAAAGAAAUGACGGUACCAACAGAAGAAGUGACGGCUAAAUACGUGCCAGCAGCCGCGGUAAUACGUAUGUCACGAGCGUUAUCCGGAUUUACUGGGCGUAAAGCGCGUCUAGGUGGUUAUGUAAGUCUGAUGUGAAAAUGCAGGGCUCAACUCUGUAUUGCGUUGGAAACUGUAUAACUAGAGUACUGGAGAGGUAAGCGGAACUACAAGUGUAGAGGUGAAAUUCGUAGAUAUUUGUAGGAAUGCCGAUGGGGAAGCCAGCUUACUGGACAGAUACUGACGCUGAAGCGCGAAAGCGUGGGUAGCAAACAGG
rnacentral:rRNA from 1 species